UACGGAGGGGUGCAAGCGUUGCUCGGAAUUAUUGGGCGUAAAGGGUAGGUAGGUGGUCUCAUUUUGUCUGGGGUGAAAGCCUUGAGCUUAACUCAAGAAGUCGCCCCUAGAAACGGUGAGACUGGAGUCCUGGAGAGGGUCGUGGAAUUCCCGGUGUAGCGGUGAAAUGCGUAGAGAUCGGGAGGAACACCAGAAGGCGAAAAGCGGCGACCUGGACAGGUACUGACACUCAACUACGAAAGCGUGGGGGAGCAAAACAGG
rnacentral:rRNA from 1 species